GAUGAACGCUGGCGGCGUGCCUAAUACAUGCAAGUCGAGCGAACAGACGAGGAGCUUGCUUCUCUGAUGUUAGCGGCGGACGGGUGAGUAACACGUGGAUAACCUACCUAUAAGACUGGGAUAACUUCGGGAAACCGGAGCUAAUACCGGAUAAUAUUUUGAACCGCAUGGUUCAAAAGUGAAAGACGGUUUUGCUGUCACUUAUAGAUGGAUCCGCGCUGCAUUAGCGAGUUGGUAAGGUAACGGCUUACCAAGGCAACGAUGCAUAGCCGACCUGAGAGGGUGAUCGGCCACACUGGAACUGAGACACGGUCCAGACUCCUACGGGAGGCAGCAGUAGGGAAUCUUCCGAAAUGGGCGAAAGCCUGACGGAGCAACGCCGCGUGAGUGAUGAAGGUCUUCGGAUCGUAAAACUCUGUUAUUAGGGAAGAACAUAUGUGUAAGUAACUGUGCACAUCUUGACGGUACCUAAUCAGAAAGCCACGGCUAACUACGUG
rnacentral:rRNA from 1 species